rnacentral:misc_RNA from 1 species
GAUGAAGAACGUAGUGAAAUGCGAUAAGUAAUGUGAAUUGCAGAAUUCCGUGAAUCAUCGAAUUUUUGAACGCACAUUGCGCCCCCUGGUAUUCCGGGGGGCAUGCCUGUUCGAGCGUCAUUUCACCACUCAAGCCUCGCUUGGUAUUGGGCAACGCGGUCCGCCGCGUGCCUCAAAUCGACCGGCUGGGUCUUCUGUCCCCUAAGCGUUGUGGAAACUAUUCGCUAAAGGGUGUUCGGGAGGCUACGCCGUAAAACAACCCCAUUUCUAAGGUUGACCUCGGAUCAGGUAGGGAUACCCGCUGAACUUAAGCAUAUCAAUAAGCGGAGGA